rnacentral:tRNA from 2 species
CCUGGAGGUGGAUCAGGACGCCGCAUCUGCCGCACUGAAGGUGCAGCCCUUCGAGUUCGGCUUCCCGCUCCGGCC